CUAUUAAACUGGUAAGGGAAGUACAUUCUACUCUAUUCUCCUAUGGCUUCAAUAUUUUUAGAACCUAUGAUUCCAAAGGUGGUUUUACUUUGCAUUUUGGGUGGGCUGACCCCUAUGAUAUCCCCAAAUUUAGGAAAUCUCAACUGCAUAAUUUGUGGUAGUGGUA
rnacentral:snRNA from 1 species